rnacentral:misc_RNA from 1 species
UGUACUCUCACACCCUGGUCUUUGGAUUGGGAUGGUGGACUUGGGUGUUGCUGCUUCGUUGUGGCUCACCUCAAAUACAGUAGUGCAACUCUUGAUGGAACCAGAGUACGGCGUGAUAAGUGUCUUCGCCGGCACCUCUCCUGAGGAUGGCCAUGCAAGAGCUCUGUGCUCCAAACUGUCUUUGGACAAUCCCUGACG